rnacentral:rRNA from 1 species
UUUCCGGUUGAUCCCGCCGGACCCGACUGCUUUCCGGGUGGGACUAAGCCAUGCAAGUCGAAUGGGAAACCUUUUCCCAUGGCGAACUGCUCAGUAAUACGUGAUCAACUUACCCUAUAGAGGUGGAUAACCUCGGGAAACUGAGGAUAAUACACCAUAAUUGAGAAUGCCUGGAAUGGUUUCUCAAUGAAAGACUAAACCGAAUGGGGUUUAGAUCGCUAUAGGAUAGGAUCACGCCCGAUUAUGGCUGUUGGUGAGGUAACGGCUCACCAAACCUAUUAUCGGUAAGGGCCGUGAGAGCGGGAGCCCUGAGAUGGGUACUGAGACAAUGACCCAGGCCUUACGAGGCGCAGCAGGCGCGAAACCUUCACAAUACACGAAAGUGUGAUGAGGUUACCCGGAGUGCUACAAAGUAGCUGUGGCGGGUGAGUAAGAUUCCCCGAGAGGAAGGAGAGGGCAAGGCUGGUGCCAGCCGCCGCGGUAAAACCAGCUCUUCAAGUGGUCGGGACUUUUAUUGGGCUUAAAGUGUCCGUAGCCGGUUUAGUAAGUUCUUGGUUAAAUCUGAUAGCUUAACUAUCAGUUUGCUAGGAAUACUGCUGAACUAGGGGGCGGGAGAAGUUUGAGGUACUCCAGGGGUAGCGGUGAAAUGCUAUAAUCCUUGGGGGACCACCAGUGGCGAAGGCGUCAAACUAG